UGGGGAAUAUUGCACAAUGGGCGCAAGCCUGAUGCAGCCAUGCCGCGUGUAUGCAGAAGGCCUUCGGGUUGUAAAGUACUUUCAGCGGGGAUGGAGGGAGUAAAGUUAAUACCUUUGCUCAUUGACGUUACCUGCAGAAGAAGCACCGGCUAACUCCGUGCCAGCAGCCGCGGUAAUACGGAGGGUGCAAGCGUUAAUCGGAAUUACUGGGCGUAAAGCGCACGCAGGCGGUUUGUUAAGUCAGAUGUGAAAUCCCCGGGCUCAACCUGGGAACUGCAUCUGAUACUGGCAAGCUUGAGUCUCGUAGAGGGGGGUAGAAUUCCAGGUGGAGCGGUGAAAUGCGUAGAGAUCUGGGGGAAUACCGGUGGCGAAGGCGGCCCCCUGGACGAAGACUGACGCUCAGGUGCGAAAGCGUGGGGAGCAAACAGG
rnacentral:rRNA from 1 species